rnacentral:rRNA from 1 species
UUACCUACGGGGGGCAGCAGUGGGGGAUAUUGCACAAUGGGGGAAACCCUGAUGCAGCGACGCCGCGUGGGCGAAGAAGUAUUUCGGUAUGUAAAGCCCUAUCAGCAGGGAAGAAGAAAUGACGGUACCUGAGUAAGAAGCACCGGCUAAAUACGUGCCAGCAGCCGCGGUAAUACGUAUGGUGCAAGCGUUAUCCGGAUUUACUGGGUGUAAAGGUAGCGCAGGCGGCACGGCAAGCCUGAUGUGAAAAUCCGGGGCCCAACCCCGGAACUGCAUUGGAAACUGUAUUUCUAGAGUGUCGGCGG